AGGGAGGGAGGGAGGGAGAGAGAGAGAGUUUUGGCACGUUUACACUCAGGGACUGUAGGCAGCCUUUAAAACGGGACCGGCACAGUCGCUCUCUGUAGUGGCAGGAGUCUCGUCCCCUGAAACUUUUGCGGGUUUUUUUGUUUUGUUCAAAAGUUACCGAGUCGCGUAAACAUUUGACAGGACAUCCAAAUAUCUGGACUUUGCCUGAUAAACAAAACCUCCGACCGAGAAAUUGUUUCCCUGCAGAUUUUUUUUGGUUUUGUUUUGACAGAGAAGAGAAAAUAAGCCGAAGGCACAAAACACCACAAACCAAAACACAAACUGUAGAGACACUGCCUCGCACCUUGGGCAACCCAGGUUCGAUCCUGACGUGGACGUGCUGUCGGCGUGGAGUUUGCACGUUCACCCAGUGACCCGGUUUACUCCCACACUCCAAGGAUGUGCAGGUUGAGGAGAACGUUCUUGGCAGAAUCUACCCAGCUCCGUUGGUUUCCAUGGGAAUGCCGUCUGGACUGAUGCAAGGAUCGGACACACACACACAGACCCCCGGCUUUGGGAGCCGAGGUGCAGGAGGGGCAAGGGGACGCACUGCGUGAGAAAUAACAGAAGCAAGAAAAAAAGAAAAGAAAAGUGUAAGGAAAGGAGUGAUGUGUGAGCCCUGGGAGUUAACAAUUGAUAAUUUGUGGAAGGAUAGAGAGAAGGAACCCAUGGAGAUGUAAAAAGAAAAAGAAAACAAGAAAGGAAACACAGAAAACAAAAGGGAAAAAAAAGGCAGAACAGAGAAAAAAGUGAUAUACCUACUUCAUAUGUGAACUUAAUAAUGCAAAAUAAGAAAUAACACUCAUAUUCAACUGAAUACCUCAGCUGCUAUUGUUAUUUAUCUGUAAUUUUUUAAUUUUUUUAUUAUAUGUAUGUAUUUUUACCUUAUCUUAUAUAUUUAAACUGCUCUUGUGAAUCGCACCGUGGGAUUGACUUUUAAAUUUCGUUGUACCAUGUGCAAUGACAAUAAAGAGAUUCAUUCAUUCAUUCAUUCAUAUCUUUCCACAACCCUCACCUUGUUCUGAAAAGGUUAAUUUCCAGAGUAAUGUUGCCUAUAUUAUACUUGUAAUAAAUCGAUGAAAGGAGACCAUAUCUUUAAGAAUUGUGAAUAAAAGGUUUCAGCCCGAAACGUUGCCUAUUUCCCUCACCCGCUGAGUUUCGCCAGCACUUUUGUCUACCUUAGUUUA